rnacentral:rRNA from 1 species
UACGAAGGGUGCAAGCGUUAAUCGGAAUUACUGGGCGUAAAGCGUGCGUAGGCGGUUUCUUAAGUCUGCUGUGAAAGCCCUGGGCUCAACCUGGGAAUGGCGGUGGAUACUGAGAAGCUGGAGUACGGUAGAGGAAGGUGGAAUUCCCGGUGUAGCGGUGAAAUGCGUAGAGAUCGGGAGGAACAUCAGUGGCGAAGGCGGCCUUCUGGACCAGUACCGACGUUCAGGCACGAAAGCGUGGGGAGCAAACAGG